GGCGCCGGUUCGGGCGUGGACUCCUGAGCCGGUGCGGUCUUCGAGGUCUCGUCGAGAUCGAGAUCGAGAUCGAGGUCGAUCGUGAUCGGCUCCGGCGCCUC
rnacentral:tRNA from 1 species